ensembl:ncRNA lncRNA:roX2 long non-coding RNA on the X 2
AUUCGCGGCCUGGUCACACUAAGCUAGGGCUACUUUUUAUAUCAUAAGUCGAGCGUUUAGGUAAGCGAAACAAAAAGAGCUUUAGUUAGAGGUAUUAGUUUGGUUGCUAUUAUUUCUAAAUUGAAAACUUCACUUCCUUUGAUCCAAAAGACACUGAAAAGACACGUUUGCAGUUGAGUUCAUUAUUUUCUGGUAUACAUACACACUGAUUACUCAUUCAAUUGGCAUUUUGCUCUUGUUUUUCUCCGAUUGCCUUGCACUCGCAUAAAUUUAACACAAAAAAGAAGUUCGGGGUGUUUAGAAUCCAUCCACUUGGUACAGUUCCCAUCGAGCUGGUGAGUACUCCGCGCAGUGCAACGUAUACACACUUGAACUCGAAUUCUGGCAGCAAAAUGGUGGUGACCUAUUAAUAACACCCGCUCAAUUUUCCCUCGCUUUUCCAUUCAGUCUCCAACUAGCUGCAAGUGAGUACGUUACUUCCGAGAUCCUCUCCAAAAAAAUAAAACAUAAAUCCAAAUCCAACCAGUGUAGCAUCCAUUGAAUUAGAUUUUCCGACACGUUGCGCCUAUGACAAUCCUAAUUCCAUCCUCUUCUCUUUCGUUUAGGUAGCUCGGAUGGCCAUCGAAAGGGUAAAUUGGUGUUACAUAUAGCUUUAGAGAUCGUUUCGAAUCACAUUGAUAAUCGUUCGAAACGUUCUCCGAAGCAAAAUCAAGCAAGAGUAACGAUUUCCGCAUAGUCGAAAAUGUUUAAGUUGAAUUGUCUUACGGACAGUGAGAUGAGUACGACUAUUUGGAAAUCACAAACGAAUUGUUUUCAUGGUUGACGCGCUUGUCAAGCUACAAAACAAAAUGAAUGAUAUACAAUAUACAAUAUACAAUAUGCAAUACAAUACAAUACAAGACAAAAAAAUGUGUCUUGGAACGCAACAUUGUACAAGUCGCAAUGCAAACUGAAGUCUUAAAAGACGUGUAAAAUGUUGCAAAUUAAGCAAAUAUAUAUGCAUAUAUGGGUAACGUUUUACGCGCCUUAACCAGUCAAAAUACAAAAUAAAUUGGUAAAUUUCAUAUAACUAGUGAAAUGUUAUACGAAACUUAACAAUUGCCAAAUAAUACAGAUCGAUUUAGAGCGAGAUGACAAUAGAGAGGCGAUCUCUCUCGUAUACGAGUCUUGAAAAGAAAGAGAAGGCGAACGGUGCUGGCUUAGAGAGAGAUGGCAAUACUAAUUAACUGCAAAUACAUUUCCGCCAUUUUGUUGGCGCUAAAAGUAACGGAAAUUCGAGAUGCUUUUAGGGCUGCCACCUUGGUUUCCAGGGUGACCAGAACUGACACUUAAAUUACAUAUGACAAAUAAAGACUUAUCUGCUAUUGC